rnacentral:rRNA from 1 species
GAUGAACGCUGACAGAAUGCUUAACACAUGCAAGUCUACUUGAAUUUGGGUUUUUUAACUUCGAUUUGGGUGGCGGACGGGUGAGUAACGCGUAAAGAACUUGCCUCACAGUUAGGGACAACAUUUGGAAACGAAUGCUAAUACCUGAUAUUAUGAAUAUAUGGCAUCAUAUAAUUAUGAAAGCUAUAAGCGCUGUGAGAGAGCUUUGCGUCCCAUUAGCUAGUUGGAGAGGUAACGGCUCACCAAGGCGAUGAUGGGUAGCCGGCCUGAGAGGGUGAACGGCCACAAGGGGACUGAGACACGGCCCUUACUCCUACGGGAGGCAGCAGUGGGGAAUAUUGGACAAUGGACCAAGAGUCUGAUCCAGCAAUUCUGUGUGCACGAUGACGUUUUUCGGAAUGUAAAGUGCUUUCAGUUGGGAAGAAAAAAAUGACGGUACCAACAGAAGAAGAGACGGCUAAAUACGUG